UCAAUAUCUCAUCUUACUUUGAUCAACUAUUUUCCCAAUGACAAUUCGCUGAAUCAUUUGUCGCCUGUUCGCCUGAAAAGAACAUUCAGUUUAAUUUGUUCGAUGACUUCUCAGUUGUUGGAUCUUCAAACUAUCGUUAGAUAAGGGAUCGAUGAAAAUUCCCCAUACAUUUUAAUACAAACAACAUUUGCAGCACUUCUAUAUAUUUUGAUAGUAUAAUGGUUACAUCGUCAAAGUUAUUUUGACUAGUUUAAGGGAUUUUGAUUGUUUUUUCGCUGCCAUUAUUAAAGCAUUUGGUUGACUAUCGUUAGAUAAGGGAUAGACGGAAAUUCCCCAUACAUUUUAAGGAAAUCAAAAUUUGCAGCAUUUCUUUAUAUUUUCUAUUAAAAAUCAUUCUAUUAAUUAAGUCAUAUACAAACAUUAACUCUUAUGUAACUCUUUAAAAAAGCAUUGUAUGAAUGAAAUGAAAAAUGCAGAAAAAAAACCUCAUCAUAACCUUGUAUGUUAAUAAAAUUAAAAUU